GAGUAGGGCUACACACGUGCUACAAUGGCGCAUACAGAGGGCAGCCAACUUGCGAAAGUGAGCGAAUCCCAAAAAGUGCGUCGUAGUCCGGAUUGGAGUCUGCAACUCGACUCCAUGAAGUCGGAAUCGCUAGUAAUCGUAGAUCAGAAUGCUACGGUGAAUACGUUCCCGGGCCUUGUACACACCGCCCGUCACACCAUGGGAGUGGGCUGCAAAAGAAGUGGGUAGUUUAACCUUCGGGAGGACGCUCACCACUUUGUGGUUCAUGACUGGGGUGAAGUCGUAACAAGGUAGCCCUAGGGGAACCUGGGGCUGGAUCACCUCCUUA
rnacentral:ncRNA from 1 species